UACGCAUACAAAACAAAAGGGAGAAAUACAGAGAGUAGGGAAUGAGAAAUAGAGUUGGGAAGAGAGUAGAACAAGAGAAGAGGAGUAAGGUGGUUCGGCCAUGGAAGGAGAGACUCAAGGCUGGAAGUUUUAAAAAGCUAUAUCCUCAUCUUCACACCAUCAACCUCUUAUCCUCAUAUCCUCAUCUAAAGGGAGAAGAGAGACAAUAGAGGGACAAAGAUCAAGAGAAGGAAAGGAAAGAAGUAGGAGGUCCGGCCAUGGAAGGAAGAAAUCAAGGCUGGAAUUUUCGGCACCAACCUCAUCUUCUCAUCAUCUCCAUGUUUGUAUAAGAUAUGCUGGCAAGAAAAGGGAGGAUGAGAGUGAUAGCAUCAUCUUCAGCAUUUUAGAGAGGGCACAAUAUUGUUAUAAUGCAUACACACAUGAUCACAAUGCAUUCUCCAUGGAUGGCUUCAGUGGUUUGUUGGUGGAGUACAUGGUUAGAGAAGCUGAAAGCUUCAUGCCCAGGUGGGCAGAUACAAGAGCACCCGAUGAGCAUCCUUUCUUCCCAGUGGACUUUCCGGAACCAAUGCUUCCACCUUUGCAAUACCCACAGGUUUUGCAUCCUGGUGCUGAUGCAAUCAAUAUCAACAACUAGGUUUGGAAUAUGUAUUUUAAGGAUCUUCUCCCAAGAAUGGUAAAAGGAGGGGAUGACGGUAACUGCGGAUCAUGUGCUGUCUGUGACACAAUGUGCUUGCAGGUAUCGUUUGUCCUAAAAUGCUUUUAUUUACAUUUAUUUUAUAUAAUUUUUUUUGUGCUCUCAUUCAGUGUCACUAAGUGAUAUAGAUAAGUACACUGUGAAUCCACAGUACUAUUAGAGAUUGGAUUUUUACAUAAUGUUUAGAUGUCAAAAGGCAGUUUUGGAGCAACAACCAAACUUAUAUUACCAAGCUUUACAAGAAUGGUUUUAGGCAAUUUUAUUGUUGGAUUGAUUACUAUCUUCAUCACACGUGGAUUCCUUUGUUGCUCACUCACUCAUGGCCUACCAUGAUGCAGCUGUAGUUAUGGAAAAAUGCAGGGAAAUGAGACCCACUGUUUGAUGGCUCUCUGCCAGAAACCAACCUCAUGUAACUAUGGCUAUCUGUUUUAUCAGGAAAUUUAUGUGUGUGUGUGUUACAAUUAAUGACAAUAAUUUGAUAGUAACUGAGUUAAAUUUAUUUCCUUUGCAUUUAAGUAAGGACAAUAAUUUAGUGGAAGCAUCAAAGCAGGCUGCAAAAAUAACAAUAGGCUGCUGUCUUCAACUCUUUUCUGCAUUUAUUCAGUUUAAUGUUUUUGCACCUGACACAAUUAGCUGACAAUAAUUGAGGUUUUGUUAUAUAAAGCGUGUUUACAAGUUUUGUACGCAAAAUUAUGCCAGCCUUCAGUAUUCUUAGUGAUGUAUGAACAAGGCAGUUUCUAGUGGUAUACAAAUUAAACCAAAAUUAAUUGCACAAUCAAAUUAUUGAAAUGUUCAUUUCAUUUUCUUCAUGGUAGGACUUUUGCUAAAUGCUUUGCCUCUUAUCUUCUUGGUGGACUAUCUUGUCAUCUUCAUUAUGCCUGCAGGCACUGUCGAAAAGAAUCCAUUAUAUUAUUAUUAUUAUUCUUAUUUGUUGUGUUGUAUCUGUUUAGUUUUUCGUUUCGUCAAAAAUAUUGAAACAUAAUUGCUGAAUUCUUCUUUUUUAAAGUGUGUUCAUAUUAGUUGGAGGAAUCUUCCCAACUUUUACCCUUCAUAGUUUUCAAUAUAUAUUAUACAUAUUUAAUUUACUUAAAAUUUUAUUCAAUUUUAAUUUUUUCUAAAGAGGCUUGUCUUACUCUCCGAGAUAGUAAUAUUAUUUUUAUUUGAAAAGCAUUUGAACAAUCUUCUUAUGUUUUAUAGAGACUAAUUAUUAAUAGUUAAAAAUUUAUAAAUUGGCCAAAAAAACCAAUUGUUGGGAAAAUUCUAAGCAUGUUUGAAUAAUUAAUAAAAACAAAAAUUUAGUUGUAAAG